CUUUGCACUUCAGCACCUGCUCCGCUCAGUGGGAAUUUGGAACUGCCAGUCAGCUGGAAACAAAGCUUAUUUCAUUCCAGCCUUUGCCACACAGUCCACCCUCAGCAUCCUGGCACUGACAGAAACAUGGAUAUGUCCAGAGGAUACAGCAACACCUGCUGCUCUCUCCAACAACUUCUCCUUCUCUCACACCCCUCGACACACAGGUCAGCUGGCAUUAGGAUGUCCUGCUCUCCUCAUUCCCGGAGGAUGUUAAGCCACUUGUGGUUCUUGGUGAUUUCAACAUACACCAACACAAGCCCCAGGCCACUGAACUGAAUGCUCUUCUGGCCUCAUUUGACUUGAAAAGUCUAAGCACCACAGCAACUCACAGAUCGGGCAACCAGAUGGACCUCGUUUUUACACGCCAGCACAUACUACACCACCCAGCCCCUGGCUCUCUGACGUGCUUCGUGAACAUCGGACUGACCUCAGGGCAGCUGAGAGGAGAUGGUGGAAAUCUAAAGAUCCAGCAGAGCUAGGUAAGUAUCAGUCUCUGCUUGCAACUUUUUCAGAUAAUGUUAAAUCUGCAAAAACUUCCUACUACCAGAACAAGAUCAACAGCAUCACAGACACUUGCAGCUUGUUUAGAA